rnacentral:rRNA from 1 species
CUACGGGUCGCAGCAGUGGGGAAUCUUGCGCAAUGGGCGAAAGCCUGACGCAGCCAUGCCGCGUGAAUGAUGAAGGUCUUAGGAUUGUAAAAUUCUUUCACCGGGGACGAUAAUGACGGUACCCGGAGAAGAAGCCCCGGCUAACUUCGUGCCAGCAGCCGCGGUAAUACGAAGGGGGCUAGCGUUGCUCGGAAUUACUGGGCGUAAGGGCGCGUAGGCGGACAUUUAAGUCAGGGGUGAAAUCCCAGAGCUCAACUCUGGAACUGCCUUUGAUACUGGGUGUCUUGAGUGUGAGAGAGGUAUGUGGAACUCCGAGUGUAGAGGUGAAAUUCGUAGAUAUUCGGAAGAACACCAGUGGCGAAGGCGACAUACUGGCUCAUUACUGACGCUGAGGCGCGAAAGCGUGGGGAGCAAACAGGAUUAGAUACCCCCGUAGUC